UACGGAGGGGGCAAGCGUUGUUCGGAGUCACUGGGCGUAAAGAGCUCGUAGGCGGCAGUGUAAGUCGGGAGUUAAAGGCAACAGCUUAACUGUUGUAAGGCUUCUGAAACUACAUUGCUAGAGUACCAGAGAGGUAAGCGGAAUUUCCUGUGUAGCGGUGAAAUGCGUAGAUAUAGGAAGGAACACCGGUUGCGAAGGCGGCUUACUGGCUGGUAACUGACGCUGAGGAGCGAAAGCGUGGGUAGCAAACAGG
rnacentral:rRNA from 1 species